rnacentral:rRNA from 1 species
UACGUAGGUGGCGAGCGUUGUCCGGAUUUACUGGGCGUAAAGGGCGUGCAGGCGGUUUGUUAAGUGCAGGGUGAAAGCUCCCGGCUCAACUGGGAGAGGUCCUUGCAUACUGGCGAACUCGAGGGAGGCAGAGGAAAGUGGAAUUCCCGGUGUAGUGGUGAUAUGCGUAGAUAUCAGGAGGAACACCUGUGGUGUAGACGGCUUACUGGACCGCAACUGACGCUGAGACACGAAAGCGUGGGUAGCAAACAGG